AGAGUGUCCCCUUUUUAAAGAUGUCCACUCCAGGAACAGGGCUCAGUGGUACGUUCACUUUGGUUCCAUUCACCUGAGAACAGGUGGA